AGUGAACGCUGGCGGUAGGCCUAACACAUGCAAGUCGAACGGCAGCACAGUAAGAUCUUGCUCUUACGGGUGGCGAGUGGCGGGCGGGUGAGGAAUACAUCGGAAUCUACUUUUUCGUGGGUGAUAACGUAGGGAGACUUACGCUAAUACCGCAUACGACCUACGGGUGAAAGCAGGGGAUCUUCGGACCUUGCGCGAUUGAAUGAGCCGAUGUCGGAUUAGCUAGUUGGCGGGGUAAAGGCCCACCAAGGCGACGAUCCGUAGCUGGUCUGAGAGGAUGAUCAGCCACACUGGAACUGAGACACGGUCCAAACUCCUACGGGAGGCAGCAGUGGGGAAUAUUGGACAAUGGGCGCAAGCCUGAUCCAGCCAUACCGCGUGAGUGAAGAAGGUCUUCGGGUUGUAAAGCCCUUUUGUUGGGAAAGAAAAGCAGCAGGUUAAUCCCCCGCUGUUCUGACGGUACCCAAAGAAUAAGCACCGGCUAACUUCGUG
rnacentral:rRNA from 1 species